rnacentral:lncRNA from 1 species
CAUAAUACAUUAGGACAUCCCUAGCACCUGUAUGUCUACUUAUAUUCUUAAAAUUAGGACUAGCAAUUCUCAUCAUGUAUCUAAAGCCCGGUUCUUCAACUGUCCUAAAUGAAUGCUUGCCACACACAAGAAAAGUAGAAAUAGCUUUACGACACUCAUCAGCAUCAAACUUGUAGUUUUUUAUAGAUGGAACACCUUCGGGUGAUGGUUGAGUGGCUAUGGUGUAUUGAGUGAUGUCCUUAUUAACUUUUUUCAAACAGCUAUUUAG